rnacentral:rRNA from 1 species
GGAUAACCUACCCUUAGGACUGGGAUAACCCUGGGAAACUGGGGAUAGUACUGGAUAGGCAAUUAUUCCUGUAAUGGUUUUUUGUUUAAAUGUUUUUUCGCCUAAGGAUGGGUCUGCGGCCGAUUAGGUAGUUGGUUAGGUAAUGGCUUACCAAGCCUUUGAUCGGUACGGGUUGUGAGAGCAAGAGCCCGGAGAUGGAACCUGAGACAAGGUUCCAGGCCCUACGGGGUGCAGCAGGCGCGAAACCUCCGCAAUGUGAGAAAUCGCGACGGGGGGAUCCCAAGUGCUAUUCUUAACGGGAUGGCUUUUCAUUAGUGUAAAGAGCUUUUGGAAUAAGAGCUGGGCAAGACCGGUGCCAGCCGCCGCGGUAACACCGGCAGCUCUAGUGGUAGCAGUUUUUAUUGGGCCUAAAGCGUCCGUAGCCGGUUUAAUAAGUCUCUGGUGAAAUCCUGCAGCUUAACUGUGGGAAUUGCUGGAGAUACUAUUAGACUUGAGAUCGGGAGAGGUUAGAGGUACUCCCAGGGUAGAGGUGAAAUUCUGUAAUCCUGGGAGGACCGCCUGUUGCGAAGGCGUCUGACUGGAACGAUUCUGACGGUGAGGGACGAAAGCUAGGGGCGCGAACCGGAUUAGAUACCCGGGUAGUCCUAGCUGUAAACGAUGCGGACUUGGUGUUGGGGUGGCUUUGAGCUGUCCCAGUGCCGAAGGGAAGCUGUUAAGUCCGCCGCCUGGGAAGUACGGUCGCAAGACUGAAACUUAA